rnacentral:rRNA from 1 species
UUGCAUAUCAACAAGCGGAGGAAAGGAAACCAACCGGGAUUGCCUUAGUAACGGCGAGUGAAGCGGCAAAAGCUCAAAUUUGAAAUCUGGUACCUUCGGUGCCCGAGUUGUAAUUUGGAGAGGGCAACUUUGGGGCCGUUCCUUGUCUAUGUUCCUUGGAACAGGACGUCAUAGAGGGUGAGUGUGGCGAGGAGUGCGGUUCUUUGUAAAGUGCCUUCGAAGAGUCGAGUUGUUUGGGAAUGCAGCUCUAAGUGGGUGGUAAAUUCCAUCUAAAGCUAAAUAUUGGCGAGAGACCGAUAGCGAACAAGUACAGUGAUGGAAAGAUGAAAAGAACUUUGAAAAGAGAGUGAAAAAGUACGUGAAAUUGUUGAAAGGGAAGGGCAUUUGAUCAGACAUGGUGUUUUGUGCCCUCUGCUCCUUGUGGGUAGGGGAAUCUCGCAUUUCACUGGGCCAGCAUCAGUUUUGGUGGCAGGAUAAAUCCAUAGGAAUGUAGCUUGCCUCGGUAAGUAUUAUAGCCUGUGGGAAUACUGCCAGCUGGGACUGAGGACUGCGACGUAAGUCAAGGAUGCUGGCAUAAUGGUUAUAUGCCGCCCGUCUUGAACCACGG